UUGCACUAUUCUUCAGGCAGGUUUCUUCUCAUUUUUCCUUAAUUGAUGUCCAAGAGAUGGAUGCAAUAGUGUCAAGUUUUAAUGCUUUUGAAACUAAGGAAGCAGGCCCACUAAUUCUAACAUGGGCAAUGUUUCUUUGUCUGAUUUCAUCACUUCAUGGAAAAGAAGAAAACAAUGUUCUAAUGGAGAUUGAUCAUAUUAGCUAUGUUCGUCAAGCUUUUGAAGCUGCAUCUUUGAGAUUUUUUCUUGAGAUCUUUUCUUGAGAUCCUCGAGAGUGACUUAUUAAAUGAGUCUGAUGGUCCUGUUGAUGGUUAUCGAAGUGUAUUGAGAACUUUUAUUUCUGCAUUUAUUGCAUCGUAUGAGAUCAAUAUUCAG